CGAUAUAUGAUGUCGAUGUGGC
rnacentral:miRNA from 10 species